rnacentral:rRNA from 1 species
UACGUAGGGACCAAGCGUUGUUCGGAUUUACUGGGCGUAAAGGGCGCGUAGGCGGCCUAGCAAGUCACUUGUGAAAUCUCCGGGCUUAACCCGGAACUGCCAAGUGAAACUGCUGGGCUAGAGUGCAGAAGGGGCAAUCGGAAUUCUUGGUGUAGCGGUGAAAUGCGUAGAUAUCAAGAGGAACACCUGAGGUGAAGACGGGUUGCUGGGCUGACACUGACGCUGAGUGCGCGAAAGCCAGGGGAGCAAACGGG